rnacentral:rRNA from 1 species
GGUCGGUCGCUAAAAUGAAAUGUCGUAACGACUCUCGGCAACGGAUAUCUCGGCUCUCGCAUCGAUGAAGAACGUAGCGAAAUGCGAUACUUGGUGUGAAUUGCAGAAUCCCGUGAACCAUCGAGUCUUUGAACGCAAGUUGCGCCCGAAGCCGUUAGGCCGA